rnacentral:rRNA from 1 species
AUGCACGCUGGCGGCGUGCCUCAUACCUGCCAGUCGAGCGAACAGACGAGGAGCUUGCUCCUCUGACGUUAGCGGCGGACGGGGGAGUAACACGUGGAUAACCUACCUAUAAGACUGGGAUAACUUCGGGAAACCGGAGCUAAUACCGGAUAAUAUAUUGAACCGCAUGGUUCAAUAGUGAAAGACGGUUUUGCUGUCACUUAUAGAUGGAUCCGCGCCGCAUUAGCUAGUUGGUAAGGUAACGGCUUACCAAGGCAACGAUGCGUAGCCGACCUGAGAGGGUGAUCGGCCACACUGGAACUGAGACACGGUCCAGACUCCUACGGGAGGCAGCAGUAGGGAAUCUUCCGCAAUGGGCGAAAGCCUGACGGAGCAACGCCGCGUGAGUGAUGAAGGUCUUCGGAUCGUAAAACUCUGUUAUUAGGGAAGAACAAAUGUGUAAGUAACUAUGCACGUCUUGACGGUACCUAAUCAGAAAGCCACGGCUAACUACGUG